rnacentral:tRNA from 1 species
GUGGCUUCACGGGGACCUGCAACGGUUUCCUAAACCGUGUGUCGCAGGUUCGAUUCCUGCCGGGGGCGCCA